GAGGAGGAGGAGGAAGAGGAGAGGGGAAGGGGGAAGAGGAUUAAGAAACUGAAGAAAGUUGAAGAAGAAGAGGAAGAACCCGAACCGGUUAAGGAGGAGGAGGAAGAAGAACAGCAGGAAGAUGCUAAGCCUAUUGGUGAGGUGAUUAGGGUUACUGGAAAAGGAAAAGGGAGAAAAACCCAUUACGAGUCGUUCGAGUACGAUGGAAAUCGCUACGAACUUGAGGAUCCCGUGCUCUUGGUUCCAGAAGGACAACUUCAGAAGCCUUAUGUGGCAA
rnacentral:misc_RNA from 1 species